CCGGGGCCUGGCGCGGGGAGCGGCGCCCCGAGGCGGCGGGAGGGGGUCCGGCCGCCUGUUCCCCGGGCCGGGAGCCGCCGCCGGGACCGGGAGGCUGCGCUUCGGGCGCCGGGACCCAGGGUACCUCACACGGCGCAGCGGCGGCCGCCUCGCUCUGUUGGCGCCGGGCCGAGCCGCCCGCCCGCGGCCCCUGAGGUAAACAGAGCCCUGUGCCUCCCUGAAAUGAGAAGCAGCUCCCAGGCUGUGACGGCUGGGAUCCAAUGUGUCCAGCCAGAGACUCCCUGUUCGCACUGCUGAUAAUCCUGCUGAUGGGAGUCAGGAUUCAGAUGGCACCAUAUCCCCCGACAGAAACCAAGGCAAGCACAGCUUUAAGUGAACCUUUAUGUGUGUUUGAUCUAGCACAUGUUUGAUCAUGAAACAAUCCUGUGGGAAUAGAAAUGAACACCCGCAAGUGGCCAGCUUUAGGAGGUUAAACUGAGGGGUAUCCACACUGGGAACCCUAGUGUGGCUGGAGUUUAAUAGAGGCUGAGGCGUUAGAAUGUUAUGGGGUUUGCACUGGCAUGAAGUUCUUGCAUAAAUACCAUCACUCUGUUUCUGGCUGGCCUGAAAAUUCCACUGCAUUCCAGUCAAUAGACAUAGACCAGGUGGGUGGGUGGGUUUGGGGGGUUUGUUUCUUUGCUUUGGGAUUUUUUCCUUUCUAUUUUAUUUGGUCCAGUGCUAUACUAGAGAAAUAACUUGGUCUCCCGAGUCCUGGAGUGAGCUGGGAAGCUCUAGCUAGUGCAGAGCACUGCUGUUUCUCCACAGUGGUGUGAUGCACCAAUCUCACAUUUCCUAGUUAACUGUGGCAAGAUGUUUUGAUCCUAUUCAAUAUUCUCAUCUUUCUCCACCAGGAAAGGUCCCAGGUUACUUAAGGUUUAACUGAAAGUUCCAUACUUGGAUCCCAGGUUACUUUAAGUUCCGUAUGUAUCCUGGAGUAAGGACUGCAGGUGACAGCUGGAUUUGUGGCAUGCUGGAAUUCUCCACAAUACAGGUAAAGUAGUUAUUUGCCAGGUACAGAUGUUUUUUCAGAGGCUGGUGUUGAACAGUGAAAUGGAAUCUGUGACGAAUUCGGGACCUCAAGGAACUUAUUUCAAGUAAACCAGCAUUUUUUGAUGCAGCUUUCCUCCAAUACGUAAAGAAAACAGUUGUAUGAAAUAUAUAGAGCAAAACCUUUUGUACACUCCAGCACUUAAAUUCUCUUCCCUUGGGAACAUGUAAGAACAUUUGGACAGCUCUUAAUCACUUUUGUUGAUUCACUGCUUUGAGGAUGUGCAUCCAGCGUUGAUGCACACUGUGUUUUGAGUAACACAAUGUCAGGAGUUCAGCUGAAACCUGGGCUUUUCUGGUGGCAUGUGGAAGUUGAAGGAAUUGCUUUUGCUGUGCUCUGUUGGGGGCGGGUAAAUCCUUUAGUUGCAGUAAGAUCCUCGAAGGAGUGAACUUGUGGAGCGGUGGCGGGUUCUCCACAACCACCAGUUCGCACCACACUUGUUCAGGCAAAUCCAGGAGAGCUUGAAGUGAGCAGGGAACAGUUACGUGUGCAGAGAAGUGCCUGAUCGUGGGUGUACAUCAAGUGACAGACAAAGACCUGGCUCCUCUUCCUCUUUUAGCACUGGUUUGGCCUUGGGCAAGCCACACUGGAUGGGGGAGGAGAUUCAAUGUAGCAUGUUAUAACUGAGUUCAUGCAGAGGGUCUCCUGCGUGUGUCAGUGCUAAGGUGAAGCAGAAGCAGAUGGUGACAUGUGUCAGGUGUAGUCAGCCUAUUUUCCAGGUGCAUCGUGGUGUGAUUCACCAAAAACAAUGUUCUGUUGCCAAACACUUGCUUAGGAGAGAGCUUUUGUUCUGCAGGCUUUGGGUUUUUCACUGUUGAUGGGUUUGGCUGUAUGGAAAUGUGAAAUGAUGAGAUUUAAUAAAGUACACCAUUAGCUA